AUUGAACGCUGGCGGCAUGCUUUACACAUGCAAGUCGAACGGUAACAGGCCGCAAGGUGCUGACGAGUGGCGAACGGGUGAGUAAUGCAUCGGAACGUGCCCAGUCGUGGGGGAUAACUGCUCGAAAGAGCAGCUAAUACCGCAUACGAUCUAUGGAUGAAAGCGGGGGACCGUAAGGCCUCGCGCGAUUGGAGCGGCCGAUGUCAGAUUAGGUAGUUGGUGGGGUAAAGGCUCACCAAGCCAACGAUCUGUAGCUGGUCUGAGAGGACGACCAGCCACACUGGGACUGAGACACGGCCCAGACUUCUACGGGAGGCAGCAGUGGGGAAUUUUGGACAAUGGGGGCAACCCUGAUCCAGCAAUGCCGCGUGCAGGAAGAAGGCCUUCGGGUUGUAAACUGCUUUUGUACGGAACGAAACGGUCUGGGUUAAUACCCUGGGCUAAUGACGGUACCGUAAGAAUAAGCACCGGCUAACUACGUGCCAGCCGCCGCGGUAACAC
rnacentral:rRNA from 1 species